rnacentral:rRNA from 1 species
GUCUAAAAGGAUGAUCAGCCACACCGGGACUGAGACACGGCCCGGACUCCUACGGGAGGCAGCAGUGGGGAAUCUUGGACAAUGGGGGCAACCCUGAUCCAGCCAUGCCGCGUGUGUGAAGAAGGCCUUCGGGUUGUAAAGCACUUUCAGUAGGGAGGAAGGCUUACCGCUAAUAACGGUGAGUACUUGACGUUACCUACAGAAGAAGCACCGGCUAAUUUCGUGCCAGCAGCCGCGGUAAUACGAAAGGUGCGAGCGUUAAUCGGAAUUACUGGGCGUAAAGCGCGCGUAGGCGGUUUGUUAAGUCAGAUGUGAAAGCCCCGGGCUCAACCUGGGAAUUGCAUUUGAAACUGGCAGGCUAGAGUGCAGUAGAGGGAGGUGGAAUUUCCGGUGUAGCGGUGAAAUGCGUAGAGAUCGGAAGGAACACCAGUGGCGAAGGCGGCCUCCUGGACUGACACUGACGCU